rnacentral:rRNA from 1 species
AGAGUUUGAUCCUGGCUCAGGACGAACGCUGGCGGCGUGCCUAAUGCAUGCAAGUCGAGCGAAUCAGAUGGGAGCUUGCUCCCGGAUGAUUAGCGGCGGACGGGUGAGUAACACGUGGGCAACCUGCCCGUAAGAUUGGGAUAACUCCGGGAAACCGGUGCUAAUACCGAAUAGAUUCUGACACCUCAUGGUGUCAGAGGGAAAGUUGGCUUUUGGCUAACACUUACGGAUGGGCCCGCGGCGCAUUAGCUAGUUGGUGAGGUAACGGCUCACCAAGGCGACGAUGCGUAGCCGACCUGAGAGGGUGAUCGGCCACACUGGGACUGAGACACGGCCCAGACUCCUACGGGAGGCAGCAGUAGGGAAUCUUCCGCAAUGGAUGAAAGUCUGACGGAGCAACGCCGCGUGAGCGAAGAAGGCCUUCGGGUCGUAAAGCUCUGUUGUCAGGGAAGAACAAGUGCCAUUCGAAUAGGUUGGCACCUUGACGGUACCUGACCAGAAAGCCACGGCUAACUACGUGCCAGCAGCCGCGGUAAUACGUAGGUGGCAAGCGUUGUCCGGAAUUAUUGGGCGUAAAGCGCGCGCAGGCGGUCCUUUAAGUCUGAUGUGAAAGCCCACGGCUCAACCGUGGAGGGUCAUUGGAAACUGGAGGACUUGAGUGCAGAAGAGAAGAGUGGAAUUCCACGUGUAGCGGUGAAAUGCGUAGAGAUGUGGAGGAACACCAGUGGCGAAGGCGACUCUUUGGUCUGUAACUGACGCUGAGGCGCGAAAGCGUGGGGAGCAAACAGGAUUAGAUACCCUGGUAGUCCAAGGCGAUUCGUU